GUCAGCAAAGCCGCAGGACGUCACUGUGGUUGCUGCAGUUAUGGAACCUUCUGAGGGGCACACUCAUCUUUAAAGAGAAUUCUCAGCACCUCCAUCUACAAUUACACCUUCAAGUAGAACCCCCAGGAUUCUUUGCACAAUGCACUGACAGUGAUAUAAAAUACUGAAGUAUGUUUGCAGUGUAGAUAUACCUUAACAUUCAACAACCAAUUUGUCUCUUAGAGCUGCUGCUGCCAUUAUACUGCUUUUCAACAAAAGUUCUCAAAGCAGAUUAUAUAGAAAAAUAAAUAAAUAAGGUGGUUCCCUGUCCCCAGAGGGCUAACAGUCUAAAAAGAAACAUAACGUAGAUACCAGCAACAACCACUGGAAGGAUUUAUUUAUUUUUAUUGUUAAAUUUAUAUACCGCCUUUCAUUAAAAACAAUCUCAAGGUGGUUGGCUAGGAUGUUGUGCUGGGGUUGGCUAGGGACAGUUGCCCUCUCCCCCUGCUAAAUAUAAGAGAACCAGCACUUGAAAAGGUGCCUCUUUGCUCAGUUAGCAGGGUAAAAGAGCUGGCAAAAACACCUUCCUUCUCAGCACUCUCUGGGGCACCAGACAGGACUGUCACUGUCCAAAACUUCUGGCCCAUUCAAUUGUGCAGGAAGAAAGGAUGAUUUCCCCCUGAUUAUAUACCGGAUGCUUUUCUUCAUCAAGGAAAUGCUCCUUUUUCUGUCCAGAGCAUACCCUAGAAUCAGAUAUUCUGUACUUCAUCUGGUUAUUCAUCCUGCAGUUCAGGACGUUUUAUAACUCAGGAUAUGACAUUCUUUAUAAAGGUUUGUUUGUGAACUAACACCCCUUUGAAUUAAGAUUUCAAAGUAAAAGUGGGUCAGCUGGCCUAUAGAGCUGAAACUGGAGCCAGAGAUGGGACUGGAAUUUUUGAAUUAUUUGGCCGGAUCAAUCACCUGAAUCCUUUAUGACUGACAGAUACUUCAAAAGAAUAUUCACAUGGACAAAUAACUUGCAAUCCCAUAAUAUAGUUACUACAAAAUAGUCUACCACAUGUAUUAUUCUUUCCCCAAUACCUUCAUAAUGUGAACAAUAUUGAUCUGUUGAAUGGCAGAGUUGGAGAAAUUGAAUGCCAUGUUUUUUAACCUGCAGACACACGUCCCAUCAGGAAAGGAGUCUAAAGAGAAGUCUCCCAAGAGGCCUGUGUUUUCACACAGACCUCCAGGGCAACCUCUUCUUCUACCAUAAUAUAAUUUUACACAAGAGAGAUGAGAGACUUACCUGAGCACUCCAACCAGCAAGUGCACCCGGCGCACCUACGGAUCUGGACCGGCCUUGGCUUGGACUGGAAGAGACACACUAUACUUGUCCAGAUGACGCUGAAAACAGCACCCUCGUUGAAAGAUCUCCAUUGCCUGCUGGCAAAAAGAUUAGAAGUAUUUCUAAUGCUGCCAUCAUUUGGUGUGCCUUGGAAUGUGCAUCCCAGAGCCCAGCUGAUUGGCUGGGUGGCAGACACGCCUGAUUGGCUGAGGCGCACCCAGGAGGAUUGGUUGCCGCAGCAGUGGCCCGGCC